rnacentral:piRNA from 1 species
GUCAGUGGAAUGUGAGUGAUCAUUUGCAC